GGUGAUAAACCAGCUAGCAACUAGCUGAGUGGCUCUGGGACAGCUGGUGAAGCAAUUUGUGCUUUAAGCUUCUCAUCUGUAAAAUAAGGGGGCAGUUGCUGUCAUUGUUCCAGGACUGGAGUUCUUGACCUUAGCCGUACACUGGAAUCAUCUGGAAUGCUUUAAAGACAACAUUCAUUGAAUACCUCUUAACUGAUAAAACUGACAGUCUCAGUCCUGGCUUCAGAUUUGAAUCACCUGGGAAGAUUUAAAAGCACUACCCUGGAGCAUCGAAAUCAGAAUCUCUGGGGACGGAGCCCAGACGUCAGUAUUUUCAAGAGUUCCCCAGGAGACUGCAAUGAACAGCCCUGGUCAACAUCAAACAAAGGAAGAAUUGAUGCGUUCUUUGGAUACUCAAGAAAAAAAGAGAAAUGAUGGUGGACAAACACCUUCUGGAAGAGUGGAAUAGGAAGGCAGCACUUUCUACACUUGCAGAUAACUCUGCAUUAGAAUAUUACCUAUUCGUGAGAAAUCUAAGGAUGACAAAAAUGAACCAGAAAGGCUUUCUUUGAAACAAAAACUCUACCUCAGUAUCAUUAAAAGAAAAAAAA
rnacentral:lncRNA from 1 species